CAAGGGCCAAGAUCAUGUGACACUGGUGUCCUUAAAGGUGAGCCUGCCCUUCAGGUUUGAAGUUGGAGCUGUUGAAGGUGAAAUUUUGACAGUGGAGUUAAAGUGUGUCUGCUGAGAGCAGUGUGGAAUCAACAAUCCCUUCCACCCUUCUACAUACAUGCAAAGACUGCUCCUUUCUGCAACACUGCAUCUGCUAUCCCAAGUGGUUUUACUGAACCUGGCAGUGAAGCGGAAGCUAUGUUGAACCCAGAAUUGACCUAAGCUUCAAGAGUCCCACCAUCUAAGGUCCCCGGCAUUGGGCGGGUGCAGAGAGCAUUGAACGGCCCCACCGGCCCCAUCACUCCCUUCUGCCUGAUCAAUUAAGGGCCUCUCAAGUGGGAUGAGAACAAGACCCUUAAAAUGGCAGAGCAGGAGGUGGCUUCCUCUUGUGUAACAAAGUGAUAUGAAAAAAAGCAGAGAUGGGAAAGAUACAGGCAAAGUUUUCUUUGUGAUCAUUGUUUAACACUGUCUGUAAUUAAAUAUUAAUGAAAGUAUGCUACUUUCAU